rnacentral:rRNA from 1 species
GACGAACGCUGGCGGCGUGCUUAACACAUGCAAGUCGAACGGAAAGGCCCUGCUUUUGUGGGGUGCUCGAGUGGCGAACGGGUGAGUAACACGUGAGUAACCUGCCCUUGACUUUGGGAUAACUUCAGGAAACUGGGGCUAAUACCGGAUAGGAGCUCCUGCUGCAUGGUGGGGGUUGGAAAGUUUCGGCGGUUGGGGAUGGACUCGCGGCUUAUCAGCUUGUUGGUGGGGUAGUGGCUUACCAAGGCUUUGACGGGUAGCCGGCCUGAGAGGGUGACCGGCCACAUUGGGACUGAGAGACGGCCCAGACUCCUACGGGAGGCAGCAGUGGGGAAUAUUGCACAAUGGGCGGAAGCCUGAUGCAGCAACGCCGCGUGCGUGAUGACGGCCUUCGGGUUGUAAACCGCUUUCGCCUGUGACGAAGCGUGAGUGACGGUAAUGGGUAAAGAAGCACCGGCUAACUACGUG